CAGGCGCGAAGGAUGGGUGAUGCGCGAGCACCGUCUGGACAAGCACACUACUGAUCUCAGAUCAGCACGGGACGCGCACUGACAGGACCAGGUCCAAGCACGGCACCGCAAAUGCAUUUCAGUCUAAUUAAAAUAACGUGAGACUCUGAAACAGCUGCUAUGUCCGGUGCUGCGGCUGUGUGUGGGCGUACCUAUCCUUGGCCACGCCCCCUCACCACCGCGGCUGGCUGCGGCUCUCGGAGGAGGGCUGUGCUCUCCGGCGCCGCCUGGCUGCCAACACCAACGUUUGCCAGCCGAGGGAGGCGUCCAAUCAGAGAGAUGCAACGCUUCAUCACACUGCACAGGGACCGUGCUACUCUGAUUUUGCUCUACAGCUCCUCACAUAUCACGUACACCCAGAGACUGAGAGAACACAGGACUGACGUUGUGUUGGGAUGUGAAGUGAUGGCCUACUCUCUGCCUGAUGCUGGCUGAAAGAAGGGAGUGACACACGUCUCUGUACAGCGGUGAUAGCACACAUGACGAGUAUUUCUAUGGAACCCGUGAAGAUCUGGACUCAGGGGACUAUGUGGGUUAAAUCAUCCUGAGAUCAUAACGUUACUGCAUUACAUGGGAAAGACCAUGUUGAACGUCGGAGAUGGUGCAUCCUUUUAACACAUGCACUACCAUGAAUUCGACUUCUCUCAUCAAAAAAAAGUUAACUACAAAAUAAGACAAAAACUUAAAAAUGAACCCAUACUACACGUGUUAAAUAAAAUAUUUAUUAUCAUUAAUGUUUUUCUAUUUUACUGUGGCACACAACUGAGCAUUUAAAAUCUGAAUAAAAUCUUUGGCACUUGGACAAUGUUUUGAUAUUUUUAUUAAAGUGUUUCUGUUGUUUGGAUGCUGAUUAGUGGCACACAAAGCAGAAGGUGGGAGUGGCUUCUGGAUCUCACACACGAGCAACAGACAGACACUUCUGAGCUGUGUUUUCCUUCACAAUUUCUCUUACCUCCCCUUCUUAAACACUGCUCCCAUCACAAGACUUAAAUUUCAAACACACACACACACACACACACACACACACACCAGGAUCAUCUGCGUCCAGUGGAACAGAGCUUAGCACCACCCAGCCAGUCAGCUGGGUGACUCCAAGCUAUAGCCUUGGAGGACCUUGUUCAGAUUCCACAGAGACAUGACCAGGCACGACACACCUGUAUUUCACGCAUGAAGAACACAACCGAUCAGACAGGUCCAUCUCAGUUGUACACCGAGCGCCCGGUGACUUGUUGUGACUUGAGUUGCAACUCACACCCCUGCCGUUUAAAAGGGCAAACUUGCAUCAGACAAUGGAUGUUUUCAAACCGUCUGAUUCUCCGUGUGCGUCUGACACUGGGUCUGAGAUGAGUCUUAGAACAACAAGUUACCCUUGGCUACGUUGCACUCUGGCCAGCAGGGGGUAUCGUUCCGCAACAUCACGCGGCGGCCAGCCAGGUCUGUCUACAGUGGCAGGUAACCCCAAAGCCACGGCUGGUUCUCCUAGUCGGAUGCGCUUUAGACGCUGAUCCAGAUGCCCUCCCCCUGGCCUUAGGCCGAAUCUUAGCAAGACAAUAGAA